UGUUACGCACCAGUUCCCGUACGUUCACGGAAGUUAAGCAGCAUCGGGCCGAGUCAAUACAUAGAUCGGUGACCGCUUAGGAAUAUCAGAUGCUGUAU